UUAAGGUAUAUUUCUGUUUAGAAGGAAGACAAAAAGCUUAUAACCUUUUCAAUAUGUAAAUAGCUCUGGAAAGUAACAAAUUUCGAAGACAACUCCAAUGAGUGUAAAUUAUUGUUCAACCUUUCUUUAGCUUCAAGAUUAAAAUCCCCAAUUCUGUGAUACUCAUGCACAUAAAUGAAUGAUGGAACCAUUGAUGCUCUCAGGUUGAAGAUUAUCAAUCAGCUUAAAGCCAAUUGAAGAUGGUUGCUAGAUUCCUUAAUUAUUGGUUUAAAAAGGAUAGCCAAUGAUGGGGAAUUUCUUUUGGCAAGAUAAUGAGAACUUUGUGGAUGAUGGUAUUCAAAUAGAACCUUUUCAAUCUGAACAAAGAAAGAGAAGAAGGAUACUUUAUUGUAGAUGGGAACUUUGUUGAAUAUCGCAAUGACAAUGAAAUCAAGGAUGUGUGGGUUGAUAAUGUUGAAGCUGAUACAAAAUAUAUAGGAAAAACAUCUGCAACAACAAACAAUGAAGAUAAUAAUGAAGUUGGGACACAAGAUCUUUCCUUUCAAGACAUUGGGAUAAUGAAAAGACGUAUUGUUGAUGUGCUCAAGCCUGGAGAAACAGUAAUAUUACAUGAUGAUAGUUAUUCUGUCUAAAAGAAAAAAAAAUUCUUUGGUAAAAGGAAUAAUUGUGUUACAUAUUUGUUCCAAAAUUUGCAUUAUGCUUUGAUUUUCAUGAUACGAGUAUACUUAGUUUAUAUUAGAUUUUGAUAUAUUUGCUGAACA
rnacentral:sRNA from 1 species